rnacentral:lncRNA from 1 species
UUUCUUUGGUGUGGACAUCAAAAACUCAAGUAUCUACAGGGGCCAAGCAGGUCACCAAAAUGGGUGGUGCCCCUGGGUGGGGACGGGGUUGAACUGGAGAGCCACGUCCAGUCUUAAGUGAGCAGCGUGUUCGGCAACUGACAUGAGCUGAGCAGAGCAAAUAUGGUUGUCAGAGGUUCUGAUUUCUCUUCACUGGAAGAUUUGAAAGGCUAUCUAGUGAAUCAAUAUCUGAAAAUUCGGCUGUCCAAAAACAUCUGUCACCAUGGAUUGCCCAUACCUUGCAUGGAAAAGCUCCUGCCGUCCUGGGCAGCACAUGGUAGAGGGGAGGCAGCCGCUGACCUUCUGGGUAACCUGUCAUGGCAACCUGACAGCAGACCGGCUGGAUGCUCCAAACUGUCACCAAAGAUGUCACGAGUGCUUCUGAGGCUCAAGAAUCUAAUUUUCCUUAGUUAAAAUAAAAGGACUGAAUGCUACAUAAAUCACCUUUUUUUUUUUUUUUUUUCCCUAAACAAAUCUCAUAGGGAAUCCUAAUAUGUAAAAUAACCAAAGUGUAAGCCCUGGGUUAAAGCCGAGGAUGGGUGCUAGAGAUGGGCUAGAGCAUGUCUGCUUAGCUUUCUUCUACUAUCCCAGCCAUUUAAAGACCCCCCAGUUAGCUUCCUGGAAUUCAGUUUGACAAACACAAGAAACUUAGGCUAGAUCAUUGCCAGGGGACCUUCAUUUCAAGCUCCGUGAAGUGGAUGAAGGACUCUGCCUUCGUCAUCCCUGAAUCCCCACAGCCAUGGUUCUGGC